GUUGGACGACCAGCGGAACCUUGCUGUGCCUUGCUUGGGGUGAGGCUGGGCGGAGGGAUGCCUCGCUCAGCACCCGCCUGGUCACCCUCAGGCUAGGCUCUCCUGCAGAUCUAGUCCCAUGGCCCUCUCUUUGCUGAAGCUGGAAGGCUUUGCCUGUGGGCUGCUGGCUAGGUGAAAAAGCUGCCGCUUCUUCAGAGAAUUCAAAACUGCUGAGAUCACACCAUGAAGAAUCCUGAAACAACGUGGGAGGCACAGAGCUCUGAGAUGAAACAUCAACGUGCCUUAGCAGUUCUACUUACAGAAUCUAUAAACUGGAGUGUUUCUGCAAAUUCUAAGAGGUUCUUAACAUUGUCCAGAAUGGUGCCCUGGUGGACGAUCAUGCACCUUGCUGGCGAGGCACUUUCUUCGGUGCUUAGCAAUAACAGACCAACGCUUCGGGCCAUAUUUCUGGACAAGCUCUAUGACCUUCAGAUGAACAGGAAAAAUAAUCUGUGUUUUAAUGUUACGGAAAGAGUCAGCGUCAUCAAGCCUCAACGUUACAAGAUCUUCAGAUCUUGAAAUAAUCUGCUUUCAUUCACUGGACAUACGGGAGCCAGCCCUUUGCUUCCAGUUUGAAGAUUGGAAUUGCUUCCUUGGGGUGAGAAACCUGUUUUAGCAAUAGUCUUAUCUACAAGCCACACAUCUAUGGAGACAGAACUUACUCUCUGAUCUUCUUCUUUGGUCCAGGGACCUUUGAUGAGCUCCGGGUUCAGCACUUUCUGCCACCGGUGUUGGCACUGCACAUCCGUCCGGUUCUAGACAAAGUACACAGCGUUGGGACGAUGAGGCGUGAAGAACACAUGGAGGCUUUGCUUUGUUCAAUAGGGAUUAGGCGUGGAGGAUACAUAGUGAAAACAUCUAGGGACAUUUAGAAGUGUGUACAGAGAGCCCACCUAUCUAUCCCACACUGCUCACAGACUGGAGGAUGUAUCCAAGUUGCAUCUAAGGUUGGAGCCCAAAGGUAAUAGUCCGCCAUGUGCAUAGACGUAGCAUCACAGGACACACAUAGAUGCCAACGUGACUUAUCCUUAACCUCUGUCUGUGGUUUAUCCCUCUGUGGCUGAAGAUGCGUUAGCGGUUCCACAUUGCCACGCCUCAAUAAAAAUCCAUCCUCAAGAACUGAAGUGCCUCCCAUUCAAACCUCUCGGGUGUGUUCAGGGACACAAACACUUCUAUUAAACGAAAUGAAAACAAUAAAACUUUCUCGCUUCCUUAGACAUAAUCUUAGAAGAAGAAAGAUGGACGCGUAACUGAUUACCACCAGAGGCUGACUUUUAUCUGUAAGAUGAGACCUAAGCCAAGUGCUGUUGGGGUGAAGAGAAAAGGACUCUGACAGAAGAGGCUUUCCUUCCUUCAGAGGUGUUCCAGAGCUCAUGAUACGGCCUUUGGAGGGGGCUCAGAACUUUUAACUGGAGAAGCAAGAGAACAUUCUGGGAGAGGAGGGGUGUGUGUGAAAUCAGCAGGAAGAAAAGCCCAGAGGAGAAAAAGCAGAAAUGAACACAGCCAAACCUGCUUGUGGGGAGGAAGCAGGAAACGGAGCGGGUAGAGGAGGGAGAGGAGAGUGGGACUGUAAGUUGUGACCAGAUAGGAGAGAGACUGGGUGCCAGGUCAAGGCAGUCCACUCCUCGCUGUGUGAGAGCCUAUGUCACCACUGGGGGGGGGAGCGGUUGUUUGCUUAUUUGUUGUUUUAAUUGGUGCAGGAGACCAAACCUGGGGACUCAGACACCCUAGGCAAGCAGAGUAGUUAGGAGUAGCUGCCAUUUAGGAGGCUCCCUCAGCUAGCAGUGUUUGGAACUGGUGGGAAGCUGAAAGAGUACACAUGGUGAAGCCAAGAAGGAAACCACUAUGAUAGAGAGGGCAGGGCGGCUGCCCUGUGACCAGACCAUAGGAAUGAAGUGGAUGAGAAGGAUUGUAAAGAAAUCCUGCGCUCCUGAAUCAUCAUUGAGAUGGACCUGGAGGGCGGGGGGUAUAAGUCAAAAGGCACUCUAGACUUUUAAACCCACAUACCAAAAAUGUGGCUAUUGAUGAGAAGGGGGGAAUUUAGAAGCUAACUUGGAGGGAAUACCAAGUUUAAAAUUCUAUCCAGGAACAGCCCAUCAGAACGUUAACUUGCACUGUCAGGGUAUUUUAAAACAAAACAAGAAGUAAUUGUU
ensembl:antisense Gm26577 predicted gene, 26577